rnacentral:rRNA from 1 species
CGGGUGAGUAACACGUGGGUAACCUGCCUGUAAGACUGGGAUAACUUCGGGAAACCGGGGCUAAUACCGGAUGCUUGAUUGAACCGCAUGGUUCAAUCAUAAAAGGUGGCUUUUAGCUACCACUUACAGAUGGACCCGCGGCGCAUUAGCUAGUUGGUGAGGUAGCGGCUCACCAAGGCGACGAUGCGUAGCCGACCUGAGAGGGUGAUCGGCCACACUGGGACUGAGACACGGCCCAG